AGAUGUGGAAGCGGGCGACGCUGGCCCACGGAUUGUUUUAUUUCCAAAUAAAUGGUGAUGAGCUUUUCAGUUUCCAGCAAGAGGAAUGCGUAGGCGCUGGAUUUACUCUGCUAUGACUGACAGUUCAGUCAAAUGGCUUUCAAGACGGUCGACUUUAAGCAGCAAAGGAUACUGAGUCAAGAAACAAAGAGCUGAGGAAACAACGCUGAGAUCCACUUGCCCGACGGGCUGGCACUCAGCAUGUGUUUGGUGCGGAUGCUAAGAAUCCUGAAUGACCCAAUACCGCUGUCUGGAUGUCGCCGGUGCCUCUAGCCACAUUGAAGAAGGGUCACCGAAGAGCCGUCCGCAGGCGGCCCCGCGUGCAGAUCCCAAGAAGACCCGUGGUUGGUGAGGAUUCCAUGAGUUAACACCCGGAGACUGAGGAGAACCUGUGUUUUCACCGUGGCAGCUGGGAGGCAGAUACCCAGAGAAUCCCCACUUUCCAAACAAGAAAGCCAGGCCGCCCCCAGGUCCUGCCUCCACCUCGAGCCUGCAGUCCCCCUCAUCACGGGGCACAGCCAGGGGCCCUUUGGGCUGGGACUCAAUGCCCCAGGGCUGCAGACAGCAGAGGACACAUCCCCAGAGUGACCCACCUCCCAAUGCCCUCACGCCCAUGGCCACAGUCCCGGGCCAUCGACCCCAGAAUGAACCAGCGCUUCAGAAACAUCCAGAUCCUGGCCAGGCCUACUUUAAAAUUACAUUUUAUUUCUCUUUGUGAAUAUUUGUUGCUUUUUAAAAAGGUUAAUAUUACAUGUUCUUCAAGAGUCUUGUGCCUCCUGGUAAGUGCAUUGGUUUGUUUUCACAGUACUCUCCACGACCGCGGA